AAAAUAAAAAAGGAAAAAGAAACGGUAAUGCUUUACAAUAAGAUUUAAUUUGUUAACAUUAUUUAAUGCACUAGGAAUCAUGAACUAAAACACUUUUACAGCAUUGCUUAGUUCAUUUAUAAAUGUACUGUUGUUCAUUAAUUCAUAUUUAAUGUUUUAUGAUCAAUGUUAAUUCAUACCACCUUAAAUGUCAAAAUGAAAGUGUUGUUCAUUGUUCAUGGUAAUUAAUGCAUUGAAUUAAUGCACGUGACAACUAUAUGGCAGACGUUUGAUUCCAGCUUAUUUCAACUUGUAAAAGGCAAAGAAUUUACUUUUUUUGUGUUUGAGUUCAAAAUUCUUACUGCGAUUAAAGAAACUUAUUUCAAUAAAUAGGCCACUGUCCGAUAGUUUGGACAUUUUUGAUCGAUUUCCCACACCAUCUUUUAAAGAUGCAUUCAUUAGUUUUGUGCUAAUUUAAUAUAUUUUUUUACACAUUGAGAAACUUUUUUUUACACAUUGUGAAACUGUGACUUUCAGUCAAAGGAAAAAAAAUGAGAGACUGAUAACGGUCAGAAGACAGGAAGAUGUCAGCUGAGACAGAGGGCGAAUCGGAAAAGGGCAGAAGCCGAAAGAAGAAACGAGCCUGUAUAAAAACAGGUGGCAACAUCCUGACUGGUGAUACUCAAGGGUCAUCGUUUUGUUGGACAGGGCUCAGUUCAUUUAUGAUCCACAUGCCCACGCCAUCUCCAUUAGCUCUGAACAAAUGUGAAGACUGAUCGGCUGGAACAACAUAACGCAGUCAUGACAACAGCACCAGAGGCAGCCCCAGGCUUUGAUCCAUCUGGGGAUCUCAUGGACCAUAAGAGAUGUAUCAACAGGCUCUAUAACAUGACGAAAGCUUGAUUAAUGCUUUGAUUUCAACUCAGAAAGAAAGAAAAUCAAAUGGGACCCAAAAGACAUAAGGCCGGUGGGGGGUGGAAGCCUACAACACACCUCUGUUGCUUGACCCUGAUUUUUACGAGCCCACCUCAACAAAGAGCAUUAAACAGCAAUCAUGGCUGAAUGCUGAACACCUCAAGAACACAAUUGCACCGGUCUCGCUCAAGGGUGAUUCAAACUGUAGUUUUUUUUUUUUUUUUUUUUUCGGUUGUGGCGUGAGGCAGUAAAGUGGCUGGAUGUGGAACAGGAUGCUGCGAUACUAAAAGCCGUUAAGUGAUGGGAGGUGUAAUAGUCUGGGACACACAGGUGCUUAAGCAGCGUUGGCAUAAUUAAACAGGUCAGAGGACAGCCAGGAGAAUGAACGGAGUGACUGUGCUACUUUCUGCUCUGAUAAUAAGUUCCUUAUGCUUCUGUUAUGUCUGUAUGUGUGUGUGUGUGUGUGUGUGUGUGUUUGUGAGAGAAAGAGAAGAUCGUUAUUCUGUAAUGAGCCUGUACAGUGUUUUAUGUUUUAGAAGAAGUGAAAGCCAUUUAAACUAGGUAAGUAUAUCAGUGUUUUUAAUUUAAAUAACUUGAAGACAACAUGUACUGUAGCAGAUUUAAAUGAUCCGUUUCAUUUGUGA